CUUACAGGGGUCACAGACAUUCAGAUCAUGGCAGAACUGUCACAGAUGUUACUUUGUGAAAACACAAAGAAUAAUGUGUUUGGAGAGAUCAGUCUUCAAUUAGCUAUAUUUUCUAGGAGCCUACCUUUACUUAGCCUCACAACAUGGGCCUUAGCUUUAGCACUUAAUCUGCACAAAUACCUGGCUUAAGUGUUAUGACUGACUGGCUAUUCAACCAAACCAUACAAAUGACCAAUUCGGUAAGAAAGCAUGAACUUCAGUGUUGAACCAAAUCAACCAACCUCCUCAAUCCAAAUGAACAAUGCUAUUCUAGGAGUCUGUGCUAGAAUAAAAUCCUAAUGCAAAGGCUGUCUUAAAAUGCUGAACCCAGAAGAAUUUGGCAUAAAUAAGACAUGGAGUUAGCUGACAUGAGAUAUUACAUUUAUUCCACUGUUGACGAGGACAAAACUGGGCCGCUAUUGUCACAGACAGGGUUUCAUCAUGUUGGUCAGGCUGGUCUGGAACACCUGACCUUGAGAUCCACCUGCCUUGGCUUCCCAAAGGGCUGGGAUUACAAGCGUGAGCCACCAGGCCUGGCAAGCUUGCAGAGCUCAAACCAUUACACCAUUCAGAAGCUGGCUUUGGUAUUACUUCAAGUUAUUCAAAACAGUCACCACUUGCUGAGCCUCUGAUGUCUCAUCUGUUGAAUGGGUACAUUUUCUUCCUGAUCCUUCCACCUCUAAACUUGUCUAUUUCCAAGGAUCUAUGGCAUCCAGGCAUAUGAUUUCAAGAGAGAAGGCUGAAAAGGAAGGUGACUGGAAUAUUAAGAACUGUGAGAUAUUCUGAGGAAACUCUAAUUUGUAAAUUGGUAGAAAUGCCAGUAAUUUGUUGGGAAUUGAAGACCCUCUGUAUUCAAGAGCGAAGCUUGGCAGCUGUGCACUGUUGUUUUAUAAAUCAAUAUUACAUCUGAA
rnacentral:lncRNA from 1 species